UCUAUUAGUGUCACUUAAGGUUACAUCUGGGUGCAGUGCGUUGCUACUACUUCGACUUCUCUGGAUUAUAGUUUCUUGGGCGCCGGUCUCAGAAUCAAGAAUUCGGCUCCAACUCGCUGCCUGCUUUUGCACCCCAGGCCUAAGGCGACGCCACCGAACUCCACAGCUGACCUCACGGUGCCGAACUACUGCCGGACCGAACGGGUUGAUACACUGGCCAAGACGUACUGAAUGUUGAGAGCAAGGAGCCGACAGUCAAUGAAGACAAAGAAAGCAAAAGACGCUAUGUGGGGCUCCACCCUAUUAGCUGUAAGUGUAACUACCUCCUCCCCCCCACGACCCCCUCUCCUCCG